ACAUGAUCAAAUUUAUCUCUUCAAGAUGGAGCUUCACCAUUAAUGGAGCAAUUAUCAUUCUUUCAUGAUCAUACUAUGGUCGUAUUAUUAUUAAUUACAGUAAUUGUAGGUUAUGCCCUAAGUUAUAUAUUAUUUAUUGCCUAUACUAACCGUAAUAUACUUCAUGGACAUUUAAUUGAAACAAUCUGAACAGCUUUACCAGCAAUUACAUUAAUUUUUAUUGCCCUUCCAUCAUUACGACUAUUAUAUUUACUUGAUGAUUCAGUAGAUGCAAUAAUUACAAUUAAAACCAUUGGACGACAAUGAUAUUGAAGAUAUGAAUAUUCAGACUUCAUAGACGUAGAAUUUGACACUUAUAUAACACCAGAACAAGACCUAGAAAAUGAUGGAUUCCGACUACUAGAUGUAGAUAACCGAACAAUCCUACCAAUAAAUACAGAAGUACGAGUAUUAACAAGAGCAUCAGAUGUUCUACACUCAUGAGCAGUUCCUGCAUUAGGGGUUAAAAUUGAUGCAACGCCAGGUCGAUUUAUUGUGAAUGUUCCUUGAUUUAACCGACCUGGCGUUGCAUCAAUUUUAACCCCUAAUGCAGGAACUGCUCAUGAGUGUAGAACAUCUGAUGCUCUUGUUAAUACUCGUACUUCUGUAUUUAUUGGUAGGAUUGUUCGGUUAUCUACAUCUAGUAGUCGGAAUCCAUCAUUUUCUAGGUCUUGUUCUGGUGUUAUAUAAGUGUCAAAUUCUACGUCUAUGAAGUCUGAAUAUUCAUAUCUUCAAUAUCAUUGUCGUCCAAUGGUUUUAAUUGUAAUUAUUGCAUCUACUGAAUCAUCAAGUAAAUAUAAUAGUCGUAAUGAUGGAAGGGCAAUAAAAAUUAAUGUAAUUGCUGGUAAAGCUGUUCAGAUUGUUUCAAUUAAAUGUCCAAGAAGUAUAUUACGGUUAGUAUAGGCAAUAAAUAAUAUAUAACUUAGGGCAUAACCUACAGUUACUGUAAUUAAUAAUAAUACGAGCAUAGUAUGAUCAUGAAAGAAUGAUAAUUGCUCCAUUAAUGGUGAAGCUCCAUCUUGAAGAGAUAAAUUUGAUCAUGUUGCCAUUAAUAAAUAUUUUCUAAUAAAAGGUCAAACCUUUAUUUGUAGAGCUUAAAUCUACUGCACUAAUCUGCCAUAUUAGAAUCUAGAGAUUAAUGGUAAUUCUGAGUAACUAUGUUCUGCAGGAGGGUUAUUUUGUAGUCAUUCUGUUGAUCUUCUUAUGUUAGCUCUAAAUAAAAUUGCUCGGUUUGUAAUAAUUCUUUCUCAUAUAAUUACAAUGAAUAUAAUGAUUCCUACAAUAGAAAUUGUAGACCCAAUUCUUGAUACUACGUUUCAUGAUGUAUAUGCGUCUGGGUAGUCAGAGUAUCGUCGAGGUAUUCCUGCUAAUCCUAGGAAGUGUUGAGGAAAGAAUGUUAAAUUUACUCCAAUGAAUAUAAUUGUAAAUUGGAUUUUUAAUCAUGUAUUAUUUAUAGUUAAUCCUGUAAAUAGUGGAUAUCAUUGAAUGACACCUCCUAUAAUUGCAAAUACUGCUCCUAUAGAUAAUACAUAAUGAAAGUGGGCUACUACAUAAUAUGUAUCAUGUAAUACAAUAUCAAGUGAUGAAUUUGCUAAUACUAAUCCUGUUAAUCCACCAAUUGUAAAUAGGAAAAUAAAUCCUAGAGCUCAUAAUAAUGGUGGAUUGAACUUGAAUUUAGUUCCAUAUAAUGUAGCUAAUCAUCUAAAUACCUUAAUUCCUGUAGGUACAGCAAUAAUUAUUGUUGCUGAUGUAAAAUAUGCUCGUGUGUCAACAUCCACUCCUACUGUAAAUAUAUGAUGUGCUCAUACAAUAAAUCCUAUUAGUCCAAUUGAUAGUAUAGCAUAAAUUAUACCUAAUGUUCCAAAUGAUUCAAUUUUUCCUCUUUCUUGACAUACAAUAUGUGAAAUAAUUCCGAACCCCGGUAGAAUUAAAAUAUAAACUUCUGGGUGUCCAAAGAAUCAAAAUAGAUGUU